rnacentral:lncRNA from 1 species
UCGGCAGAAAGAUCUGAAGCAUUUGCCAAAUUGCUGAAGCAGAAGGAUAUCGCCUGCAGGAAGUUGUUCAGCUAAAUGAACAUCUGCUGUAUUGAAGCUCUGCAGCUUAGUUUUAAAAACAUGUGUAAGCUGUGGCCCCUGCUGAAGAAGUUGAUGGAGAGACAAUGAAAAACAUUAGAGGAUAUUCAAAACAAAACCAUCCUAAAGCAGGCUCUAGAGAGAAAGCAGGUGAGCACCAAGAUUCAAGCGAUCAGGAUUGAGAAGCACAUGGUCUGAGUGUGGCUCUGUAAUUGGUGCCAGAAAGGCACCAAGAAAUAACUAUUCUCAAUGAGAAGACUUUGAGGCCACUGAGUAUCCUUUCACAAGACCAGUGUGCUUUCCUCUGAUACCUGAGCCUCAUUUUGGUACUUCAAACUAUGGGGACCAUCACAUCAAUACUCUGUACUUCUCAGUUCUUUUCACUCUUAAAUAUAAAGCAUUCCCCUCUGUCUUGCACACCACUCUGAGC